rnacentral:rRNA from 1 species
AUGAAACACUCCUACGGGAGGCAGCAGUGGGGAAUUUUGGACAAUGGGCGCAAGCCUGAUCCAGCCAUGCCGCGUGAGUGAAGAAGGCCUUCGGGUUGUAAAGCUCUUUCGGCCGGGAAGAAAUCGUGUUCUCUAACAUAGGACAUGGAUGACGGUACCGGACUAAGAAGCACCGGCUAACUACGUGCCAGCAGCCGCGGUAAUACGUAGGGUGCGAGCGUUAAUCGGAAUUACUGGGCGUAAAGCGUGCGCAGGCGGUUUUGUAAGACAGAUGUGAAAUCCCCGGGCUCAACCUGGGAAUUGCAUUUGAGACUGCACGGCUAGAGUGUGUCAGAGGGGGGUAGAAUUCCACGUGUAGCAGUGAAAUGCGUAGAUAUGUGGAGGAAUACCGAUGGCGAAGGCAGCCCCCUGGGAUAACACUGACGCUCAUGCACGAAAGCGUGGGGAGCAGACAGGAUUAGAAACCCUGGUAGUCCGAAGUUC